CAUGCAGUCGAGCGGACGGAUGGGAGCUUGCUCCCUGAAGUCAGCGGCGGACGGGUGAGUAACACGUGGGCAACCUGCCUGUAAGACUGGGAUAACUUCGGGAAACCGGAGCUAAUACCGGAUAAUGCAUAACCUCUCAUGAGGCUAUGCUGAAAGAUGGUUUCGGCUAUCACUUACAGAUGGGCCCGCGGCGCAUUAGCUAGUUGGUGAGGUAACGGCUCACCAAGGCAACGAUGCGUAGCCGACCUGAGAGGGUGAUCGGCCACACUGGGACUGAGACACGGCCCAGACUCCUACGGGAGGCAGCAGUAGGGAAUCUUCCGCAAUGGACGAAAGUCUGACGGAGCAACGCCGCGUGAGUGAUGAAGGUUUUCGGAUCGUAAAACUCUGUUGUCAGGGAAGAACAAGUGCCGGAGUAACUGCCGGCACCUUGACGGUACCUGACCAGAAAGCCACGGCUAACUACGUGCCAGCAGCCGCGGUAAUACGUAGGUGGCAAGCGUUGUCCGGAAUUAUUGGGCGUAAAGCGCGCGCAGGCGGUCUCUUAAGUCUGAUGUGAAAGCCCACGGCUCAACCGUGGAGGGUCAUUGGAAACUGGGGGACUUGAGUGCAGAAGAGGAAAGUGGAAUUCCACGUGUAGCGGUGAAAUGCGUAGAGAUGUGGAGGAACACCAGUGGCGAAGGCGA
rnacentral:rRNA from 1 species